rnacentral:rRNA from 1 species
UACAGAGGGGGCAAGCGUUGUUCGGAAUUACUGGGCGUAAAGGGCGCGUAGGCGGCCCGCUAAGUCGAACGUGAAAUCCCCGGGCUCAACCCGGGAACUGCGUCCGAUACUGGUGGGCUUGAAUCCGGGAGAGGGAUGCGGAAUUCCAGGUGUAGCGGUGAAAUGCGUAGAUAUCUGGAGGAACACCGGUGGCGAAGGCGGCAUCCUGGACCG